UGGGGAAUAUUGGACAAUGGGCGCAAGCCUGAUCCAGCAAUGCCGCGUGUGUGAAGAAGGCCUUCGGGUUGUAAAGCACUUUUAUCAGGAGCGAAACGCUGUCGGCUAAUACCCGGCGGAACUGACGGUACCUAAGGAAUAAGCACCGGCUAACUUCGUGCCAGCAGCCGCGGUAAUACGAAGGGUGCAAGCGUUAAUCGGAAUUACUGGGCGUAAAGCGUGCGUAGGCGGUUUCUUAAGUCUGCUGUGAAAUCCCCGGGCUCAACCUGGGAAUGGCAGUGGAUACUGGGAGGCUAGAGUGUGUCAGAGGGUGGUGGAAUUCCCGGUGUAGCGGUGAAAUGCGCAGAGAUCGGGAGGAACAUCAGUGGCGAAGGCGGCCACCUGGGACAACACUGACGCUGAGGCACGAAAGCGUGGGGAGCAAACAGGAUUAGAUACCCUGGUAGUCCACGCCCUAAACGAUGCGAACUGGAUGUUGGUCUCAACUCGGAGAUCAGUGUCGAAGCUAACGCGUUAAGUUCGCCGCCUGGGGAGUACGGUCGCAAGACUGAAACUCAAAGGAAUUGACGGGGUCAUAGCUGUUUCCUG
rnacentral:rRNA from 1 species